rnacentral:misc_RNA from 1 species
GGGGAAUCGUAGCGCGGGACUUUGGGCCAACCUCCCAUCCGUGUCUAUUGUACCCUGUUGCUUCGGCGGGCCCGCCGCUUGUCGGCCGCCGGGGGGGCGCCUCUGCCCCCCGGGCCCGUGCCCGCCGGAGACCCCAACACGAACACUGUCUGAAAGCGUGCAGUCUGAGUUGAUUGAAUGCAAUCAGUUAAAACUUUCAACAAUGGAUCUCUUGGUUCCGGCAUCGAUGAAGAACGCAGCGAAAUGCGAUAACUAAUGUGAAUUGCAGAAUUCAGUGAAUCAUCGAGUCUUUGAACGCACAUUGCGCCCCCUGGUAUUCCGGGGGGCAUGCCUGUCCGAGCGUCAUUGCUGCCCUCAAGCCCGGCUUGUGUGUUGGGUCGCCGUCCCCCUCUCCGGGGGGACGGGCCCGAAAGGCAGCGGCGGCACCGCGUCCGAUCCUCGAGCGUAUGGGGCUUUGUCACAUGCUCUGUAGGAUUGGCCGGCGCCUGCCGACGUUUUCCAACCAUUCUUUCCAGGUUGACCUCGGAUCAGGUAGGGAUACCCGCUGAACUUAAGCAAUAAAACCCCGGGAAAAAAAAAGAAGAGUCAAC